AGCAUAUAAUCUUCAUGAAAGAAGAAAUUUUGUUUGUCUUGUGCAUUGAUGUAAAUGCACCUAAACUGGACUGACACAUAGUAUGUGCUCAGUAAAUACCUUUUCACUGAAAAAAUAGCUCCGAGUUGACUAGUAAGGGACCUUGGUUCUCUAGAUUUAUAUCUUUCUAUCAUACAGCUCUGGGUUUGCAAAAUUAUCAUAGAAAUGUUUCUUGGAGACACGGUUAUCAGCAAAUAAUGUCUCCUAGACAACCUACCUAAAGAAGUCUAGAUAAUUUUAGGAGACAGUUGAAUUAGAUCACCACCAGUUGAUCGAUUACCUGAUUUGUUUUUUCAGCUGUGGUGAUAAUGUCUGCCAGGCGACCCAGACAUGGGUCCUGUUGGCUUACAGCACAACUGGGCUUAGAUGUGCCACCCUCGUAUGCCUUACAUCCUCGCGUGGAAUGGGACUCACUCGGACAUGCUCACUUUGUUCUUAGGGUGAAGAAAACAAGACAGGGAAAGAGUGGCAAGUAGUGGUGAAUUUUGUCCUGGAAACCAGAUCUCUCGACUCUCAUCUCCUGACUCUUUCUCUUACAUCAUUUUGCCUCAAGAGAGGAUUCAGUAGCCUUUUAAUAGUUCUACAUCAAUUGUUUUGACUGUUUUGGGUCCUUUGAGUUUCCAUAUGAAUUUUAGGAUCAGCCUGUUUAUUUCUACAAAGAAGCCAGCUGAGAUUCUCACAGGGAUUGCAUUGAAUCUAAGGUUAAUUUGAGGAAUUCAUGUUCUACAAUAAGCCUGCUCAGCAGUUGUAGACACAUCCAUGAAGUGAAACAGAGAAAAGAGUCCUUGAGUCUUGGAAUAUUUUCUUCUGCUAGACUGAAUCUGGAUUAAGUCUUAGAAGGAUACAGAGAGAAGGAGUCUGUGGCUAAAGAUUUCUUCAUUGUCCUGUGAAACGGUCAUUUGUCCUGGAUUGCGUUUUUCUCUGAAAUAGAAUGUCUGUGUUAAAUAUUAAUAAGAAGUGUAUGGGUGCCCUCAGGUUCUUGAGAAAGAGAAUCAAAAGAGUUAGUUUUGUUUUCUUGAUUAUUUGGACCAGUUUGUUCAUUCAUUCAUGUAACAAAAAUGCAUUGAGUCACUACCAUGUACCAAGCAUCAUACUAGGCACUGAGAUAUAAUGAUUAACAAAAAUAGAAAGGAUGCCUACUUUCAUGGAGUUUACCCUUGGGGUUUGGGGAGAUGAGACAUUAACUAAAUAAUCUCACAAAUAAAUGCAUCAUGACAAAAUCAAAAAAAGACAUGAAGUAAAGGUAUAUGAUGAUAUGAGACUUUCUAAAACAAAGAGCUGAUCUGGUCUGGGGCGUCAAAGAAAGCUUUCUUGAAGAAGAGAGAUUCAGGCUGAGUUCUGAAGGAUAAAUCAGAAUUAAGAACAUAGGGGUAGAGGAGAGGUUCCAGGCAAAGAAACAGCAUUUUAAAGGCCCUGAAGUGGCAGGGAGCCUGGCACUUAUAAAGAACUGAAAGAAAGCCAGUGGGACCAAAACACAGAGAGGAAGUGGCUUAUGAGAUGAGACAGAAGAGCUAAUGGCUGUCAGAUUAUGUGGGGCCCUAGAUGACAUAAGAAAUUUUUAUCUUUAUCUUCAGAACAAAGAGCAGUCAUAGGAAGUGACAUGAGCAGAUCUGUGACAUUGAAAGAUCACUUUGGGGUUAGGUCCAAGAUUGGAUAAGUAGAGACCAGUUAGGAGCCUAUUGCAGAGUCCAAGCGGACCAUGGUAGCUUAGCCUAGGGCAGUGCUGGAAGAGAGGAUGAGAACCAGACAUAUUCAGGAGAUGAUGGUGAUAAAAUCAAUAAGCCAAG